GGGUUUGGACAAUCAGCAUAUCACAGUCCUGUGAGCUGUUGUAUAAGCAUUCGCCUACUUUUGUUGUCUUUUUCCUUGAAGGAAUUGCCUUUGGAAAGGGAAGUGCAAUCCCAAUUUAUUGCUUUGUGGGUAUUGCCUUUGGAAAGGGUUUGUCUUUUGUGUUUGUGCUUUUGUGUUGGUGUUUCUGAAUUCGGUACGAUAUUGUUCCUUUGUAGUAUUGAACCUGAGGGAUCACCAGACCUGUUGUAGUCUUCUAAGAAGAAUCUCAUCAAGAGGGAGUGUUGGAAUCGAUGAGAUUCCAUUUUAAAAGGGAGUGUUAUGGAAAGUCAAUAUGGAU
rnacentral:misc_RNA from 1 species